AUUGAACGCUGGCGGCAUGCCUUACACAUGCAAGUCGAACGGCAGCACGGGGCAACCUGGUGGCGAGUGGCGAACGGGUGAGUAAUGCAUCGGAACGUGCCAUUGAGUGGGGAUAACGUAGCGAAAGUUGCGCUAAUACCGCAUAUUCUGUGAGCAGGAAAGCAGGGGGACCGCAAGGCCUUGCGCUCUUUGAGCGGCCGAUGUCAGAUUAGCUAGUUGGUGAGGUAACGGCUUACCAAGGCGACGAUCUGUAGCGGGUCUGAGAGGAUGAUCCGCCACACUGGAACUGAGACACGGUCCAGACUCCUACGGGAGGCGAGCAGUGGGGGAAUUUUGGGACAAUGGGCGGCAAGCCUGAUCCAGCCAUGCCGCGUGAGUGAAGAAGGCC
rnacentral:rRNA from 1 species